rnacentral:rRNA from 1 species
ACGUAGGGGGCAAGCGUUAUCCGGAAUUAUUGGGCGUAAAGAGUGCGUAGGUGGUUUUUUAAGCGUGAGGUGAAAGGCAAUAGCUUAACUAUUGUAAGCCUUGCGAACUGGAAGACUUGAGUGCAGGAGAGGAAAGUGGAAUUCCUAGUGUAGCGGUGAAAUGCGUAGAUAUUAGGAGGAACACCAGUGGCGAAGGCGGCUUCCUGGACCGAUACUGACGCUGAGACGCGAAAGCGUGGGGAGCAAACAG